rnacentral:rRNA from 2 species
UGAAGAGUUUGAUCAUGGCUCAGAUUGAACGCUGGCGGCAGGCCUAACACAUGCAAGUCGAACGGUAACAGGAAGCAGCUUGCUGCUUUGCUGACGAGUGGCGGACGGGUGAGUAAUGUCUGGGAAACUGCCUGAUGGAGGGGGAUAACUACUGGAAACGGUGGCUAAUACCGCAUAACGUCGCAAGACCAAAGAGGGGGACCUUCGGGCCUCUUGCCAUCAGAUGUGCCCAGAUGGGAUUAGCUUGUUGGUGAGGUAACGGCUCACCAAGGCGACGAUCCCUAGCUGGUCUGAGAGGAUGACCAGCCACACUGGAACUGAGACACGGUCCAGACUCCUACGGGAGGCAGCAGUGGGGAAUAUUGCACAAUGGGCGCAAGCCUGAUGCAGCCAUGCCGCGUGUAUGAAGAAGGCCUUCGGGUUGUAAAGUACUUUCAGCGGGGAGGAAGGUGUUGUGGUUAAUAACCGCAGCAAUUGACGUUACCCGCAGAAGAAGCACCGGCUAACUCCGUGCCAGCAGCCGCGGUAAUACGGAGGGUGCAAGCGUUAAUCGGAAUUACUGGGCGUAAAGCGCACGCAGGCGGUCUGUCAAGUCGGAUGUGAAAUCCCCGGGCUCAACCUGGGAACUGCAUUCGAAACUGGCAGGCUUGAGUCUUGUAGAGGGGGGUAGAAUUCCAGGUGUAGCGGUGAAAUGCGUAGAGAUCUGGAGGAAUACCGGUGGCGAAGGCGGCCCCCUGGACAAAGACUGACGCUCAGGUGCGAAAGCGUGGG